GAGCAUUGCGGGAACUUACUUUUCACAUCAUCUUUCCAUCUUAGUGGAGGGAUUUGGAUCCAACAUGAAAAGAGAGUUAAAGAGUUCCUGAAAUUUUUGGGAGUGAAGCAGAUGGAGACUAGUAAUGCAACUCAGUCGGAUGUGGAAUGACUCAAGCUGGUUUGUCGCUCGACUCAAGGUGAGAACCUACACAUGUCAUUGCAUCAAGACAAGUGCAAGUGGAGUACUUCAUGUUGGUUUUCCAUUUUGGUCAUUGAGGAAUGAAGUGUACACCCUUGGGGCAGGCCACUGUGCACCUUCACACUCGUGGUGUUGGUUGACGGGAUUUCCAUUCAACCCAUCCUGAAACACAGACCAAGGAUUCUAGCAUGUGUGUGCAUUGGUGGGUUUGUAAACCUGUAAGGCGUAAGGAAUUUGACGGGUAAAGGAUUCUAGCAUGUGUGUGCAUUGGUGGGUUUGUAAACAUGUAAGGCGUAAGGAAUUUGACGGGUAAUAUCCCCUCUUGAUGAGGUGCAUUGUCGAUGGACCUUGAGCUUGUGCAAAGGGUUCAAGUGCGCGCACACUUGUUGGGACCUGAAAGAUGGUGAACUAUGCAUGAGCAGGGUGAAGCCAGAGGAAACUCAGGUGGAGGCCCAUAGUGAUACUGGCAUGCAAAUCAUUUGUCUCACUUGGGUAUAGGGGUGAAAGACUAAUUGAACCAUCUAGUAGUUGGUUUCCUCUUAAGUUUCCCUUGGGAUAGCUAGAGCUUACAUGCAAGUUUUAUCAAUUAAAGAAAAUGAUUAGAGACAUCAAGGGUGUAAUGUCCUCGACCUAUUCUCAAAAUUUAAAUAGGUAAGAUGGUGUGGUUGCUCCAUUGAGUCGUGCCAUGUAAUCUAGAGCUCCAAGUGGGACAUUUUCAGUAAACAGAACUGGCGAUGUGGGAUGAACCAAAAGUCCAGUUACUGCACCAAACUGUGCACUAACCCAAUGUAAUCUAGAGCUCCAAGUGGGACAUUUUCAGUAAACAGAACUGGCGAUGUGGGAUGAACCAAAAGUCCAGUUACUGCACCAAACUGUGCACUAACCCAAAUCCCACAAAGGGUGUGUUGGUUGCUUAAGACAAUAGGUUGGUGGUCAUGGAAGCUUAAAUCUACUAAGGAGUGUGUAACAACUCACCUUUUGAAUCAACUAGCCCUGAAAAUGGAUGGUUUUGAAGUGCGUGACCUUUACUCGGUUGUUGAAGAAAUUGCUAGGCUUCAAUAAGUAGGAGGACGUGGGGGUCAUUAAGAAACCUUGGGCGUGAGCUUAGGUGGACCGACCCCCGGUGCAGAUCGUGGUGGUAGUAGAAAAUAUUCAAAUGAGAACUUUGAAUACUGAAGUGGGGAAAGGUUCCAUGUAAAUAUUCAAAUGAGAACUUUGAAUACUGAAGUGGGGAAAGGUUCCAUGUGAAUAGCACUUGGACAUGGAUUUGUCAAUCCUAAGAUAUGGAGAAACCAUUAAUCAAGGUCACACUCUACAUGAACAUCAAAAGGGAAUCGGUUUAAUAUUCUAGAACUAGGACAUGGCAGUGGAUGACAACAUUAGGAAAUAUGGAUACACUAUUGGGGGGCCCGGGAAGAGUUAUAUUUUCUUUUAACAACUUUCCCACCCUGAAAUCAGCUCAACCGAAGAUAGGGUUCAACAGCUGGAAGAGCACCGCAUGUCUUGCAGUGUCUAGUCCGCCCUCAUUGGCCCUUGAAAAUCUGGAGGACCGAGUACAUUCCAUGCACGGUCAUAUCCAUAAUCGCAUCAUAUCUCCAAGGUGAACAACCUCUGGUCAAUAGAAAAAUGUAGGUAAGGGAAGUAGGAAAAACGAAUCCAUAACUUCGAAAAAAAGAUUGUCUCUCAGGGUUGGGCCUAGGGGUCUACAUCCUCAACCAGUGGGUUGUCGUUAUAUUUCCUGAGAUUCUAUCAUGGAGAGGGAGGGCGAUCUUGUGUCGAUUGGGCUACGGACGUAUAAUGUCCCCUCACGAGGGAUUUUCCCUAGGAUGCUAACAAACAACUCAUAAUUUGUAAGGACAAGGGGAAUUUGACUAUUUAACUAAAAAAAAUCAUUGUGAUGGUCCCUAUGGAUGAUGAUGAAAUAUGAUUUAUGCCCAUUGCACUGAAUGUCAAAGUGAAUAAAUUCAACCAAGCAUUGGUAAACGAUGAGAGUAACUAUGACUCUUUGAAGGUAUCCAAAUUCCUUGUCAUCUAAUUAGUGACACGCAUGAAUCGAUUAAUGAGAUUCCUAUUGUCCCUAUAUACUAUCUAGUGAAACCACAACCAAGGAAAUCGGAUUGGCACAAUCAGUGGGGAAAGAAGACCUUGUUCAACUUGAAUCUAGUUUGACUUUGUGAAAUGACUUGAGAGGUGUAGAAUAAGUAGGAAUCGUUUUUGGUGCAAGUGAAAUACCACUACUUUGAACAUUAUUUUACUUUUUCCAUGGGGCAGAGAUGGGGCAUUACCCUUGUUUUUGUUCUUAAGACAUGUUUCAACAGGUUAAUUUGGGUGGAAGACAUUUUUAGGUGGGAAGUUUGGUUGGGGAGGCACAUCUGUUAAAAGAUAACACAUGUGUCCUAAUAUGAGCUCAAUGAGAACAGAAAUAUCGUGUGGAACAAAAGGGUAAAAUCUCAUUUGAUUUUUAUUUUCAUUAUGAAUAAAAAUCAUGAAAGCAUGGCAUAUUGAUCCUUUAGACUUUCGAAAUUUGAAGCUAGAGGUGUCAAAAAAGUUACCAUGAGGAUAAAUGGCUUGUGGCAGCCAAUUGUUCAUAGCAACAUUGCUUUUUUAUCCCUCGAUGUUGGUUCUUCCUAUCAUUGUGAAGAAAAAUUCACCAAGUGUUGAAUUGUUCGCCCACCAAUAGGGAAUGUGAGUUGGGUUUAGACCGUCAUGAGACAGGUUAGUUUUACUCUAAUGAUGAACUAUGCCACAAUAGUAAUUCAACUUCAUACAAGAGGAACUGUUGAUUCACACAAUUGGUCAUCACGCUUGGUUGAAAAGCUAGUGGCACAAAGCUAUCGUGUGUCGGAUUAUGACUGAAUGCCUUAAGUCAGAUUCCAUGCUAGAAGCAGCGCUUGUCAUUCCUGGAUCGUAUCUUGACCCACAGUAUGGGUGUCACUUUAGCACCCCUAGGGGCCCAUAUCACUUGCGAACCUCGGUCGGGAAGCAUCUCGGUCAGAGUAACUUUGAAGUUCAAUUUCAAAUGGUCGUUGAGAAAAAUCCUUUGCAGACAACUUAAAUAUGUGAUGGGGUAUUGUAAGUGGUUGAAUGGCCUUGUUGCCAUGAUCCACUGAGA
rnacentral:rRNA from 1 species